UACAGGGGUCUCGAGCGUUAAUCGGAAUCACUGGGCUUAAAGGGUGCGUAGGCGGGCCCGUAAGCGUUCCGUGAAAGCCCCCGGCUCAACCGGGGAACAGCGGGGCGUACUGCGGGCCUCGAGGCAGACAGGGGCGGUCGGAACUGUAGGUGGAGCGGUGAAAUGCGUAGAUAUCUACAGGAACGCCGAUGGUGAAGACGGGCCGCUGGGUCUGUCCUGACGCUGAGGCACGAAAGCGUGGGGAUCAAACAGGAUUAGAUACCCUGGUAGUCCACGCCGUAAACGAUGCUCGCUGGAUCGGGGGUGCUCUGAUGCUCUCCUGGUCGUAGCUAAAGCGCUAAGCGAGCCGCCUGGGGAGUACGGUCGCAAGGCUAAA
rnacentral:rRNA from 1 species